ACGAACGCUGGCGGCGUGCCUAACACAUGCAAGUCGAACGGAACUUACCGAAUGAAGCUUUCGGGUGGAUUUUGAUAAGUUUAGUGGCGGACGGGUGAGUAACGCGUGAGUAACCUGCCUUCAAGAGGGGAAUAACGUUCUGAAAAGAACGCUAAUACCGCAUAACAUACGGAUGUCGCAUGGCAACCGUAUCAAAGAUUUUAUCGCUUGAAGAUGGACUCGCGUCCGAUUAGCCAGUUGGCGGGGUAACGGCCCACCAAAGCGACGAUCGGUAGCCGGACUGAGAGGUUGACCGGCCACAUUGGGACUGAGAUACGGCCCAGACUCCUACGGGAGGCAGCAGUGGGGAAUAUUGGGCAAUGGGCGCAAGCCUGACCCAGCAACGCCGCGUGAAGGAAGAAGGCUUUCGGGUUGUAAACUUCUUUUGUCGGGGACGAGUAGAAGACGGUACCUGGCGAAUAAGCCACGGCUAACUACGUGCCAGCAGCCGCGGUAAUACGUAGGGUGGCAAGCGUUGGUCCGGAUUUUACUGGGUGUAAAAGGG
rnacentral:rRNA from 1 species